rnacentral:rRNA from 17 species
UCCACAUAUCUAUUACCCUAUCUGGGGGAUGGCUUGGCUUGGAACGCCUAUGAAGGACGUGGUAAGCUGCGAUAAGCUCAUGCGAGGCGCAUACAGCCGUAGAACAUGAGAUUUCCGAAUGGGACUUCCUGCUCUUUUGAGCGAUUCGUAAGAAUCGGGAACGCGGGGGAUUGAAGCAUCUUAGUACCCGCAGGAAGAGAAAUCAAACGAGAUUCCGUUAGUAGAGGCGAUUGAACACGGAACAGGGCAAACUGAAUCCCGCAAGGGAGAUGUGGUGUUAUAGGAAAUCUCUUACGACUUAGGAAAGGAUGCCGAAGUUGUCUGGAAAGGCACAUCAUAGAGGGUGAUAAUCCCGUAGGUAUAACUGACCUGAGUUUGAGAUUUUCCUGAGUACCGUGCGUUGGAUAUCGCGCGGGAAUUUGGGAGGCAUCGACUUCCAACCCUAAAUACGUUCCAAGACCGAUAGUGCACUAGUACCGUGAGGGAAAGCUGAAAAGCACCCUUAACCGGGUGUGAAAAGUGCCUGAAACCAGAUAGGUAUCGUAUGGCAUGGCUCCAAAGGCAACUAUUCCGAAGGAAUCCAUUGCAAAAUGGUAGUACGAGGAAUAGAGUCCAGAGUUGUGUCGUCCGUUUCGAAAAACGGGCCGGGGAGUAUAUUGUUGUGGCGAGCCUAAGACCUUUAUGGUCGGAGGCGUAGGGAAACCAACAAGUCCGCAAGCUUUUGCUGAGGGACGGGGUCUUAAGGGCCCGGAGUCACAGCGAUAUGACCCGAAACCGGGCGAUCUAGGCCAGGGCAAGGUGAAGUCCCUCAUCAGAGGGAUGGAGGCCUGCAGAGGUGCUGCCGUUCGAAGCGCUCUUCUGACCUUGGUCUAGGGGUGAAAGGCCAAUCGAGCCCGGAGAUAGCUGGUUCCCCCCGAAGUAACCCUAAGGUUAGCCGGAGGUUAGGUAGAUGGCAGGGUAGAGCACUGAUAGAGGGGUUAGGGGACGAAAGUCCUCGCCUUUCUGUCAAACUCCGAACCUGUUAUCGCUGCAGCCUCUGAGAAAGGGCAUACGGGUAAGCUGUAUGUCCGAGACGGGAAUAGCCGCGACUCAGGUUAAGGUCCCUAAGUACUGAUUAAGUGUGAACACGAAGGGCGUCCUUGGCCUAAGACAGCAGGGAGGUUGGCUUAGAAGCAGCCAUCCUUAAAAGAGUGCGUAACAGCUCACCUGUCGAGGUCAGGGGCCCCGAAAAUGGACGGGGCUAAAUCAGUUACCGAGACCUGAGGGCACCGAAAGGUGAUCCGGUAGGGGGGCGUUCUGUAAGGGCAGAAGUUUGGCUGUGAAGUCAAAUGGACCUUGUAGAAAUGAAGAUCCCGGUAGUAGUAACAGCACAAGUGGAGUGAGAAUCUCCACCGCCGAAGGGGCAAGGGUUUCACAGCAAUGUUCGUCAGCUGUGAGUAAGCCGGUCCUAACUUCCGAGGUAACUCCUUUGGAAGGAAAGGGAGACAGGUUAAUAUUCCUGUGCCAUCUAAAUACACGCGGCAACGCAAGGUUAGUUUCUGACGCUUCAGGGUAUGCUAACUACUCUUGUCUGGGUAGUCAAAUGUAUAAGUCUGGGGAGAGUUGUAAUAACGAGAACCAGAUGAAAGCAUGAUGAUCCAUCCUUUAGGAUGGUUUGGCAGAUCUCUGGAGCCCGUGAAAAGGGAACUAUCAUGGAUUUUAGAUGACCGUACCCAGAACCGACACUGGUGCCCCUAGGUGAGUAUCCUAAGGCGUAUCGGAUGAAUCUAGUCGAGGGAAGUCGGCAAAAUGGCUCCGUAACUUCGGGAGAAGGAGUGCCAGUGACCUUGUCAAGGGGUCGCUGGUCGCAGUGACCAGGGAGGUCCGACUGUUCAAUACAAACACAGGUCUUAGCUAGUCUGAAAAGAUGUGUACUAAGGCCGACGCCUGCCCAGUGCUGGUACGUGAACCCCGGGUUCAACCGGGCGAAGCGCCAGUAAACGGCGGGGGUAACUAUAACCCUCUUAAGGUAGCGAAAUUCCUUGUCGGGUAAGUUCCGACCUGCAUGAAUGGCGUAACGAGACCUCCACUGUCCCCGACUAGAAUCCGGUGAACCUACCAUUCCGGUGCAAAGGCCGGAGACUUCCAGUGGGAAGCGAAGACCCCGUGGAGCUUUACUGCAGCCUGUCGUUGGGGCAUGAUUGUGGGUGUACAGUGUAGGUGGGAGCCAUCGAAACCUUCUCGCUAGGGAAGGUGGAGGCGUCCAUGGGACACCACCCUCCUAUGAUCAUGUCCCUUACCCAAGUAUGGGGACACCGGUAGGUGGGCAGUUUGGCUGGGGCGGUACCCUCCUAAAAAUGCAUCAGGAGGGCCCAAAGGUUGGCUCAAGCGGGUCAGGACUCCGCUGUUGAGUGUAAGGGCAAAAGCCAGCCUGACUUAGUUGUCCACAAUACGCAACUAAGAGACGAAAGUCGGGCCUAACGAACCCCUGUGCCUCACCGAUGGAGGCCAGGGAUGACAGAAAAGCUACCCCGGGGAUAACAGAGUUGUCGCGGGCAAGAGCCCAUAUCGACCCCGCGGCUUGCUACCUCGAUGUCGGUUUUUCCCAUCCUGGAUCUGCAGCAGGAUCCAAGGGUGGGGCUGUUCGCCCAUUAAAGGGGAUCAUGAGCUGGGUUUAGACCGUCGUGAGACAGGUUGGUUGCUAUCUGCUGGAAGUGUUGGCUGUCUGAGGGAAAGGUGGUUCUAGUACGAGAGGAACGAGCCGCCGGUGCCUCUAGUUUAUCGGUUGUCCGACAGGGCAUUGCCGAGCCGCCACGCACCAAGGGAUAAGAGCUGAAAGCAUCUAAGCUCGAAGUCCAUCCUGAAAACAGACAGCCGUCCUUCUAGGAGGCGAGGGGUCCCAUAGAAGAUGGGUUUGAUAGGCUAGGAAUGUAAGCAUCAAGGUUUUCCGAGAUGUUUAGUUCGCUAGUACUAACCCCCCAAGAGAUAUUGGAA